GAAGUGAGAAUGCCGGUAUGAGUAGCGAAAGACGGGUGAGAAUCCCGUCCACCGAAUAACUAAGGUUUCCUGGGGAAGGCUCGUCCUCCCAGGGUUAGUCGGGACCUAAGGCGAGGCCGAUAGGCGUAGUCGAUGGACAACAGGUUGAUAUUCCUGUACUUCUAUAAAUCGUUUGAGCAAUGGAGGGACGCAGGAGGCUAAGAAAAGCGUACGACUGGAAGUGUACGCCCAAGCAGUGAGUCGGCUGAUGAGUCAAAUGCUUAUCACAGAUGCGACAAGCUGUAACGGGGAGGGAAGUUUAGUACCGAAGUUUCUGAUGUCACACUGCCGAGAAAAGCUUCUAGCAAGAUUUAUAGGACCCGUACCGCAAACCGACACAGGUAGUUGAGGAGAGAAUCCUAAGGUGAGCGAGCGAACUCUCGUUAAGGAACUCGGCAAAAUGACCCCGUAACUUCGGGAGAAGGGGUGCUGACAGAAAUGUCAGCCGCAGUGAAUAGGCCCAGGCGACUGUUUAUCAAAAACACAGGUCUCUGCAAAAUCGAAAGAUGACGUAUAGGGGCUGACGCCUGCCCGGUGCUGGAAGGUUAAGAGGAGAGGUUAGCGCAAGCGAAGCUUUGAAUUGAAGCCCCAGUAAACGGCGGCCGUAACUAUAACGGUCCUAAGGUAGCGAAAUUCCUUGUCGGGUAAGUUCCGACCCGCACGAAAGGCGUAACGAUUUGGGCACUGUCUCAACGAUGGACUCGGUGAAAUCAUAGUACCUGUGAAGAUGCAGGUUACCCGCGACAGGACGGAAAGACCCCAUGGAGCUUUACUGUAGUUUGAUAUUGAGUGUUUGUGUCACAUGUACAGGAUAGGUAGGAGCUGAAGAAUCCGGGACGCCAGUUUCGGAGGAGGCAACGGUGGGAUACUACCCUUGUGACAUGACCACUCUAACCCGCACCCCUUACCGGGGUGGGAGACAGUGUCAGACGGGCAGUUUGACUGGGGCGGUCGCCUCCUAAAAUGUAACGGAGGCGCCCAAAGGUUCCCUCAGAAUGGUUGGAAAUCAUUCGAAGAGUGUAAAGGCAGAAGGGAGCUUGACUGCGAGACCUACAAGUCGAGCAGGGACGAAAGUCGGGCUUAGUGAUCCGGUGGUUCCGCAUGGAAGGGCCAUCGCUCAACGGAUAAAAGCUACCCUGGGGAUAACAGGCUUAUC
rnacentral:rRNA from 1 species